rnacentral:rRNA from 1 species
AUUAAGCUAUUUCUCUAAAACGUUCUUAAACUAUCCAUCAUAAAAUAAAGGUCAGCCAUAUUAUCUUAAACUUAUCGUUUUUAUAUUGUGGCUUACUAACAAAUCUCUUAAACUUACCCUGCCUUGGGGAUUGGUCACAUUUUUUUUAUAGAUAGUAUACUUUAAACUUCCUGAAGUAAAUCAUUUUAUUAAGGAAAGGAAAGGAAAUCAACCGAGACUCCGAAAGUAAUGGCGAGUGAAAUCGGAUUAGCCUUAAUAACUAAAAAAAAAUGAAUUUGUUCACUUUAACUAUUUUUUACCUUAUUCUUAUUUUAUUCAUCUUUUAAUACUAGAACCAUCUUAUAAAAAAAGCUAAAAUAAAUAUCAAACACCCUCCUAAUGGGGUGAUUGGGUAGGUGAGGUAAUAUAAAUUUAAAAGGAAGAAACCAAAGAAGGAAAAUUUAAUUUAAAUGUCCUGUAGUUUUUAUUUUAAGUUAUUAAUAAAGUACGAUGAGAUAAAACUUGUCGGAAUAUAGGGGUACCAUCCUCUAAGGCUAAGUAUGAUAAAUUUAGCGAUAGCGAAAAGUACUGUAAAGGAAGAGUAAUAGAAGUGGUGUACUUCUAGUUAGAAUUAGUAGCUCUAUAAGCAGUCGAAAUUUUGAAUAAAAUAACGGCGUACCUUUUGCAUAAUGGGUCAGCAAGUUAAUGGGAGUAGCAAGGUUAAAAGCCCUAGCGAAAGCGACUGGAUUAUUAACAUUGAAUAGAUAAAUUUUACAUUAAAUAUAGUACUCUAUAUUAAACGUGAAAUGUAAAACUAUUAUAUACUGUAUAGUGUUGUAUUAUUAUCUGGCUUAGUGCUUUAUUAUUCUUAUUUAUUAUUAAGGGGUACUUUAUCGUAUAACGUUUACCUUCCUCUAAAUUUUCAAAUUAACCCCAUAGGUUUAGCCACUCUUUACCUUUGGGGGAGGUAAGCCCUUAAUUUAAGUUUAAAGAUAUAUUUUAUAUUAAAAGAUCUAAUAUGUUCUUUUUUUAUAAGCCUCACUGGGUCAGUAUGUAAUCUAUUUCUUUUUAAUAGUGUUGGACUAGUUACUUCUAUUAGACCCGAAGCCAGGUGAUCUUUCCAUGGCCAGAUUUAUAACGGAUCGUACGGGUGAAUGUUGCAAAAUUCUCCGAUGAGCUUUGGAAAGUUGUGAAAUGCAAACCUAACCUGGUGAUAGCUGGUUUUCUACGAAACAUAUUUAAGUAUGACGUCUACACAAGAUUUAUGAUGGUACAGUACGGCAGUUUCAAAAUAGUAAUAAUUGAAUUCAAUUAUUAUGACUUAAGUAUGAGGGGGCCUAGAAAUCUUACCGUUGGAAGUGAAACUCGAAAUAACAUAAAUUGAUGGUAGACUUUCAGACUGCUCAUGCGAAGUUGGGUAGUCCAGACGAAAACAGUCGAGAGCACGAAUUUAAGGUCCCGAAUGAUGACUAAGUGAAAUUAAGGAUGUGACACAUUGAAUGCAGCUGUAAAGUGAGCCUGGUAGUCGCUACUUUUAAUGAACGUAUAGUAACAACGCAUCAGCCCAAACCUUCAAUAACUUAUGACACCUGUUUUAAGUUAUAAAGGCAAGAUUGUUGCACCGAAAAUUCAACGGGUCUAAGUAAUCAACCGAUAUCGUGCUGCUUUAUUUCAUAUAUUAAUAGAAUAAAAGUUCAUUAAUUUAUUGUAAUAAGGUGAGGUAGUAGAACAUUCAGAACGAUUGAAAAAUAGUGUUUCAUUGUUUUGACGUAACUGAAGAGAGAAUGCUGACAUGAGUAACGAAAAAAGAAGUUAUAAUACUUCUCGCCGAAUGCGAAAGGGUUUCAGGGCAAGAUUAAAUCACCACUGAGUAAAUGCGGCCUCUAAGAAUUAAAACCAAAGUUUUAUUCGAUGAGUAAUAAACAGAAAGUCCUUAUAGAAAACUAAAAAUAAGGAAAGUUUAAAACUUUCUAUUUUUAGAAUUAGGGCCUAGAAAAGAAUGUUUAAAAUGACUACCGUACCCUAAACCGACACUGGUUCGCUGGUUGAGAAUACUAAGGCGUAGAGCGAAGACUUGUUAAGGAACUCGGCAAGAACCCUUCAAAAGUUAGGCGAAAAGAAGGACCACUUUAACUUCACUUAGCUAUAAGUGAAUAUUUCAGGUGGUGGCACAAAAUCGGAGGCCCCGACUGUUUACUUAAAACAUAAGAAUCUGCAAUGAUUAAUAUCGUGGUAUAGGUUCUGAAAUUUGCCCAAUGCCAUUAAUAUAAGUGCGGUUAUGAAAGUGACUAAUCGAAUGUCUGGUUAAUAGCGGUCUUAACUAUGAGGAUCCAAAGGUAGCAAAAUCAGUUGGCCAUUAAAUGUGGUCUUGUAUCAAUAAUGUAACGAUGGCCUCACUGUCUCUACAAGUCGCUCAGUGAAAUUGAAUUGUGAGUGCAGAUGCUCACUACCUCCGGGGGGACGGGAAGACCCUAUGCAGCUUUACUGUAGUUAGUUAUCACAUUAAUCUACAACAGGUCUGGUCAAUAGUGAUUAGGGAUGUCGAUAGACGGAAUAUGGAACACCUUCCGAUCAGAACUGGGUUAAUGUUUACCUUGAUCUCGUAAGGAGUUAAGGGAGAAUUGACUAAUUGACAGUUUGACUGGGGCGGUCGUCUUUAAUAGAGUAGCAAAGUACAUCCGAUUAUAUUUUAAAUAUUUUAAUAUUUGACCAAAUUAACAUUGUUUUAUCCAUUUUAAUCUGAAGUAUUCUUAUAAUUCUAAGCCUAAAGGGCUCUCAACUUAAAGUUUAUUUGAGGGUUUUUAAUAAAAGCCCAAUCAUAAAACUAAUUCAAAUAUUUUAUACUAAUAGAUAAAAGGAAUUUAAACAGUGCACCAAUAGUAGCUCUCCCACCAUAGAGAUGGGGUAAGGAUUAAAUUUCGUACCGAUUAUUGUGUGAAAAAAUAAUUAUAUCAUAAUUAUCAAAAAAAAAUACGAACUAAACUUAAUUUAUAAUACUUCUUUUUUUUUUAUAUAACAAUUUUUUUAAAUGUAGAGAUAAACUUAUAAAAAGAGAAUAAGAGAAUUAAAUUAAUUUUACUGAACUUUAUUUUCACUUUUCUUUCAUUUUAAUUUAAAAAGGUAGAGCUAGAAAUUGAAUGGGGAUCAAUCUGCCAGUGAAACGGCGGCGGAAAGAGCGUAAUGGCGGAAAGCAUGCCUAACUGAAAGACCUAUAAGUCGCACAGAUACGUAAGUAGGGCAUAGUGACCCUUCGAUAUAAUAUGGAAUAGACGGGGAUCAAUAGAUAAAAGUUACGCUAGGGAUAACAGGCUGAUAGUCCGCGAGAGUACACAUUGUCCGGACUGAUUGGCACCUCGAUGUCGACUCAACCUAUCCUCCGGGAGUAGGAGCUUGGAAGGGUUGGGCUGUUCGCCCAUUAAAAGGUUACGUGAGUUGGGUUUAAUACGACGUGAGUCAGUAUGGUCCCUAUCUUCCGGAGGGAUAAAUAGUAAAAAGAGGUAGACCUUCUAGUACGAAAGGAUCAAUAGGCUGUGUUUCAAUCGUGUACCAAUUGUUAGAUAUUCUAGUGAUAUUGGCAUAGUUGGGUAGCCACAAACAUUACGGAUAAGAGCUGAAUGCAUAUUAAGCAGGAAACCGUCCUCUAGCUACUAUCCAUCAUUAUUAAAAUUAUAAUUUGGAUUUACAAAUUUUUUAAUUUAUUUUGAUAAGAUAAGAAAUAGAACAUUUCUAAAUAGGGUGCUAGUGUUUUGCUUUGA